rnacentral:rRNA from 1 species
AACGAACGCUGGCGGCAUGCCUAACACAUGCAAGUCGAACGAGACCUUCGGGUCUAGUGGCGCACGGGGCGUAACGCGUGGGAACCUGCCCUUAGGUUCGGAAUAACUCCCCGAAAGGGGUGCUAAUACCGGAUAAUGUCUUCGGACCAAAGAUUUAUCGCCUUUGGAUGGGCCCGCGUUGGAUUAGCUAGUUGGUAGGGUAAAAGCCUACCAAGGCGACGAUCCAUAGCUGGUCUGAGAGGAUGAUCAGCCACACUGGGACUGAGACACGGCCCAGACUCCUACGGGAGGCAGCAGUGGGGAAUAUUGGACAAUGGGCGAAAGCCUGAUCCAGCAAUGCCGCGUGAGUGAUGAAGGCCUUAGGGUUGUAAAGCUCUUUUACCCGGGAUGAUAAUGACAGUACCGGGAGAAUAAGCUCCGGCUAACUCCGUG